CCCCGAUGAAAAACCCAAGACCGGGUAGCGCAGCCCCUCCGCGCACGCGUAACACGAGGAGACACCGCCCACACGCCAGACGCGCUGUGAUUGGCCCCAGCUACCCUCGGACCGAGAUUCCUAUUGGUCCCAGGUGUCGAGCAUGCGCACUUUGGUCGUGGGCGCGUGUGUGGAAUGGGAGGAGGUCGCGCUGUCCAUGGGCGUCCUUGGCCUGCGCCACCCAGAGAUGAUAAAUAGCCAAAGACGUCAAUGGCACCCAUGGACAUAGUAAGCAUAGUAGGAGCUGAAAAACUAGAAGCAAUGACAAUGUCAACUAUUUUGAGCAAAAAGAAGCAGUGUCUUCGGAACAUUUGAUCAUAAAACCAGAAAUUAAAGGAUGAGAAAAACAUUUUUCUGAAGCUUAUACUUUCACAUUUCCUAGAGAGCAUAUUUGUGUGGAUGGGGGUGGGUAAACACUCAACAAAAGUUUCUUUAAAAAGAAGAAACCAUCCUGGUUUGAUGUAAUCAAUGGUUGCCCACUGCUCCCUUCCUGUGCCUGUGACCCUUCCCAAACUGCCCUGUUGCUUGCAGGCUCGCCUGAGCUGAAAGGCAGCCCUCACAUCCCGUCGGCACCUCCCUGGGGCCUUCUUUACACCCUGGAGAACUUCACAGGGAAUCUGUGUCUGUAACACAAAGGCUUCCUGGUCCAGAUGUAGAUACUAAGGCUGACUGGUUAUUUAAGUCCUGCGGACUUACUCUGCCAAAAUUAUUUAAUCAUGUAAAAAUAAUUUAUAAUUCUUAUAAAGUAUCCCCUUCAUAAUAUAAUGAAUGUUGGUGCUAUUACAUUUAAGUGCACAUGUACAGUAUACAAGAUUAUUAAUAAUAAUGUUUUCAAAUAGUUAUUGUCAAAGCUAUUUUUCUUAUGUUUAUGAAAGUGCUUAUAAAAUUCAUGUUUUAUGAGGCUGGAGAUGUAUAUUUUGUAAUUUCAUUCUGAUAUUUGUUAAUAUUCGCUUCCAAUGCUGGUUUUGUUUGAUGAGACUGACAUUGCCUAAUUUCAAGCUUUUUGAAUGUGUAUUCUUUCAGGGCAAGUAUGAAAUAACUAGUAAAAAAUAUACAAAUAUGCUUAACAAUAAGUAGACUUUCUCACAUUGAUUACUUACAACAGCUUUAUGUGGGGUGAAUCAGAUGCCUGUAUUACAGAAGCAUCUAAUGCAAAGCAAAAUAAAAACACUUGCAUGAGCGCACAGAGGUAGGUGUGGAAGAAAGUGAAACACUAUUUUAGGUUUUAGUUACACUCUGCUGUGGUGUGCUGCCUAGUAUUUGCAGGUUAAUGCAAAUACUAGGGGUUAUGAAUUGUUUCUAAGUUUAUUAUUAAAAAUAGCCUUGCUUCAUUUCUUCCUAAAAUGGAGACAAAUAUGUAUAGUGUCUGUGUUACCAGUAUGUGUAAGAGUAAUAUCUUAAUGCGUGUAAAAUGUUUAUAGGAACCUGUAUUUCAAAGAGCUAUUUUUGCAAGUGACACUAUCCUUUUAAGAAACUUUUUUAUUCAAACUUUUUCCUCCAUUUAUAACUAUUCUAUUAUUUCUUAAUGUUCAGAACCCUUUUCAUUAUCUAUAAGGUUAAAUUUUAGGUAAGUAAUGAGAAAAUAAUAAUAUGUGGAGAAGAAAUGAGUGAGGAGUCGAGAUGUGUGUCAAUCAAGAAUGAGUUUGUCAGCCCUUGUAUUAUGAUUUUACUCGGGAGGGGAUAAUUAUUGAAGGAUGUAAUGUAAGGGCAGUGAUACUAUAUGGUAUGUAAGACUGUUAAAAUCACUGAGGUAAGCUAUUACUUGAACUAAGCAUAGAAAUAGAGACAGAUUUUUAAUGCAUUUAAUUAUCAAAAUAUCUAAAUUAAAGAUUUGAUGUGGUUGUUCACUGGAAACAAAUGGCAGACAAACAGAAUAUUUCUUGGAAUCAUAAAUGACAUCAUCCUGUCUCCAACUUUCUGUGUAGCUUCUUUCUUUAGUUGGUCUUUGCUUAGAUUUCCCUGUGUCAGAGACGACUUCCCUGGAUAUCAGUGACAGUUAUUGAUUGCUCAUGCUAUGAACUCCUCCCAUUUCUCAGCCCUCUUGCAGUAGGUGGGGCCAUGGUACUAGUUGUGGCUUAUUGCUUAAAGACUUUAAGGCUCCAUGUGUGACUUUCCAGCUCUGGUCCACUGCUACUGCGGCUCUGGCAGGACUAGGGAGGUGCCCCGUGUCUCAGAUGGUGCAGCCUCCAUCCAGCUGUGUCCCUGAAUGACUAGAGCACAGCCACUGGUGACCUGUGGUGGACGUAGAAUGUGGAUCUGGUGUCAAAAGUGAGGAUCCAAAGUAAAACUCCAGUGACUCUCAGGAUCACCAGGUGACCAGGAGGCAAGGUCCAUAAGGACACUUGAAACUCAUUGCACGUGGUACUCUAUGGAAGGAAGUGUCAAUGAUGUGGAAAACAACUCCGAUAGAGAGAACAUCAUGAGAGCUUGGAAUGAUUACAUCAUUGGCAAUGCCAUCAUUGUUAUAGAAAAGCCAUGAAAGCCAUCAAGCCUGAAACAACAAAUUCCUUCUGGAGAAUACUGUGUAUAGAUGUGCAUGGCUUCACAGGAUUUAUGACUGAGCCAAUCAACGAAAUCAUAAAAGAAGUUGUGCAUAUGGCAAAAAUAAAAAGGUGGGGGUAAAGGGUUUCAAGAUAUGGGUCUUGGAUUAAUUCAGGACCUAAUAAACACCACACCAGAGAAAUUCACAAUGGAUGAUUUGAUGGAGAUGAGUGCUUUCAAACCAGUGCCAGAUGAUGAGGAGGAAGGCAUAGAAGAUGCAGGGCCAGGAAACAAGUUGACUUUAGACACUCUGGGAGGAAGGAUCCAGUUAUUCAAGAAUGCUUUUGACUUCUUUCAUAUGACAUGGACCCUUCUACAAUACAGGCAAUAAGAUUAAAGCAAAUGAUAAAGAAGAAUUAGUACUGUAUAAAAACAUUUUUAGAGAAAUGAGAAGACAGGAAUUCAGAUAGAAAUUAUGAUGUAUUUCUGUAAAGUUACACUGAGUGUGCCUGCUUCUUCUGACUCCUCUUCCAUCUCCUCCAUAUCUUCCACCUCUAUCACCCCUGAGACAACAAGACCAACCCCUUGUCUUCCUCCUCCUCAGCUUAGUUGAUGCGAAAACAACAAGGAUAAAGAUCUUUAUGAUGAUCCACUUCCACUUAAUGAAUAAUAAAUGUAUUUUUUAACUUAUUAUUUUCGUAGUAAGAUUUUCUCUUCUGUAGCUUACUUUAUUGUAAGAAUACAUUAUAUAAUAUACAUAACAUAAAAUAUGUGUUAAUCAACUGUUUAUGUUAUCAGUAAGGCUUUGGGUCAACAGUAAGCUAUUAGUAGAUAAGUUACUGGGGAAUCCAAAGUUACAUGCGGCUUUUUGACUGCAAGAGGGCCCGGUGUCUCUCACCCCAGCAUUGCUCAAGGGUCAACUCUGUAUUUCAUGACAAUUUCUUAACUACUUAUAUUUAGAUUUGGUAUAAACAGCAACAGCAACCAAAGAGAACCUUAUUACAGCAAAAAAGUUUCACUCUGUUGUUUCCACCCAGACCCUCUGCAACCUCAAUACUUCCCACUGAUUUCUGAAAGCCCUCAUCACUCUCCGGAGGAAACAAAAUAUUGACAUUUUGUUCAGGCUCAGGUAAGAUAAAGUGAAGAGGAUCA
rnacentral:lncRNA from 1 species